GGGGGUGUGUGGAUCAGCGGUACAGCAUCUGUUUGGCAUGCAAAAGGUCUGGGGUUCAAUUCCUGUCAUCUCCA
rnacentral:tRNA from 1 species